CGGAUGAGAUAUCAAAUGGUGUGCAAUCAACCAGACAUUACGAAAACGUUUCAGGUAGCAGGUCUUCAGGAGAAACAGGGCAGAUGAGACCGGAUGAGAUAUCAAAUGGUGUGCAAUCAACCAGACAUUACGAAAACGUUUCAGGUUUAGGGUUUUCCGCAGACGAACAAAAAAUUGGAGUCUAUGAAAAGGUGGAUCCCAUGCCCAACCCAG